AUCCUUUCGUAGUUCCCAAGCGUGAUGACUGGGUAUUCACGCCGUUGUGUGACAUGUGCCUCCCUAAAACCUUGUUACGACACUGGGAUGUUACCCAUCUGACA
ensembl:snoRNA